GUGAAUCAUCAAAUUUUUGAACGCAAAUUGCACUCUCUGGUAUUCCGGAGCGUAUUCCUGUUUGAGGGUAAGUUUAAACAAAAAUCGGUGUGGUAGCCGCUUUUCGUGGUGACGCACUGGAUUUGGGUAGUCUUGCCUUUGGUUAAGUGACAUAAUAUUCUGUAUGAUUUUUUUCACACGUCUUUAAUUGUUUUUACGUAUGUUUGCGAUAUAGCAUACUUGAUUUGGCGUUCCCG
rnacentral:misc_RNA from 1 species